CUCCGUGCACGCUUUUAUUCCCAACGUCACCCAGCAGGGACAGCUUUGAGCACUUUGACAUCAUCCAGCGGCCGGUCCUGCGCGUUGGUUUCCACCAUGCCCACCCUGCCCAGCACCCCGAUGCCUUGGCACACGCGCCCAAAGAUGGUGUGUUUGCCAUCCAACCACUGCGCCGGCGCCAACGUGAUGAAGAAUUGGCUGCCGUUGGUGUCCGGCCCUGCGUUGGCCAUGGCCAGGAUGCCAGCACCGGUGAACUUCAGCUCAGAGUGCAGCUCGUCCUCAAAGUGUUUGCCGUAGAUGGAGGCACCGCCACGGCCGGUGCCGGUGGGGUCUCCUCCCUGCACCAUGAAGUCCCGGAUGACGCGGUGGAAGCGGGUGCCGUUGUAGUACCCGCGGCGGCACAGCUCAGCAAAGUUCUUGCAGGUUCGUGGUGCGUGGCGCCAGUACAGCUCCAGCACCAGAGUGCCCAUCGUAGUCUCCAUGGAGACGGUGGGCGGCUGCCAGGAGUCAGGCGGGACGGCGGCCAUGCUGCUGCGCCGCUAUUGCUGCCGGCGCCGG
rnacentral:lncRNA from 1 species